CAGCCGCCGCGGGAAAACGGAGGGUGCAAGCGUUAAUCGGAAUUACUGGGCGUAAAGCGCACGCAGGCGGUCUGACAAGUCAGAUGUGAAAUCCCCGGGCUUAACCUGGGAACUGCAUUUGAAACUGUCAGGCUGGAGUCUUGUAGAGGGGGGUGGAAUUCCAGGUGUAGCGGUGAAAUGCGUAGAGAUCUGGAGGAAUACCGGUGGCGAAGGCGGCCCCCUGGACAAAGACUGACGCUCAGGUGCGAAAGCGUGGGGAGCAAACAGGAUUAGAUACCCGGGUAGUCCCUGUCUCUUAUAC
rnacentral:rRNA from 1 species